CUACGGGAUGCUCCAGUGGGGAAUAUUGGACAAUGGGGGCAACCCUGAUCCAGCAAUGCCGCGUGUGUGAAGAAGGCCUGCGGGUUGUAAAGCACUUUCAAUAGGGAGGAAAAGCUUUGGGUUAAUACCCCGAAGUCUUGACGUUACCUUUAGAAGAAGCACCGGCUAACUCUGUGCCAGCAGCCGCGGUAAUACAGAGGGUGCGAGCGUUAAUCGGAAUUACUGGGCGUAAAGCGCGCGUAGGCGGUUUGAUAAGUCAGAUGUGAAAGCCCCGGGCUUAACCUGGGAACUGCAUUUGAUACUGUCAAACUAGAGUAUGGUAGAGGGUAGUAGAAUUCCUGGUGUAGCGGUGAAAUGCGUAGAUAUCAGGAGGAAUACCAGUGGCGAAGGCGGCUACCUGGACCAAUACUGACGCUGAGGUGCGAAAGCGUGGGGAGCAAACAGGAUUAGAUACCCCGGUAGUC
rnacentral:rRNA from 1 species